AGUUCCAUAGCUCAGCUGGUUAGAGCGCAGUGCUAAUAACGCUGAUGUCGCGAGUUCGAUCCUCGUUGGGACUA
rnacentral:tRNA from 1 species